UACAGGAGGUCUCAAGCGUUGUUCGGAUUCAUUGGGCGUAAAGGGUGCGUAGGCGGCGCGGUAAGUCGGGUGUGAAAUCUCGGGGCUUAACUCCGAAACUGCAUUCGAUACUGCCGUGCUUGAGGACUGGGAGAGGAGACUGGAAUUUACGGUGUAGCGGUGAAAUGCGCAGAUAUCGGGAAGGAACACCGGUGGCGAAGGCGGUUCUCUGGGCCUGACCUGACGCUGAGGUACGAAAGCGUGGGGAGCAAACAGGG
rnacentral:rRNA from 1 species